GCCUCGAUAGCUCAGCUGGGAGAGCGUGUGACUGAAGAUCAUAAGGUCCCGUGUUCGAUCCACGGUCGAGGCA